AUGAACGCUGGCGGCGUGCCUAAUCCAUGCCAGUCGAGCGCACAGACGAGGAGCUUGCUCCUCUGACGUUAGCGGCGGACGGGUGAGUAACACGUGGAUAACCUACCUAUAAGACUGGGAUAACUUCGGGAAACCGGAGCUAAUACCGGAUAAUAUAUUGAACCGCAUGGUUCAAUAGUGAAAGACGGUUUUGCUGUCACUUAUAGAUGGAUCCGCGCCGCAUUAGCUAGUUGGUAAGGUAACGGCUUACCAAGGCAACGAUGCGUAGCCGACCUGAGAGGGUGAUCGGCCACACUGGAACUGAGACACGGUCCAGACUCCUACGGGAGGCAGCAGUAGGGAAUCUUCCGCAAUGGGCGAAAGCCUGACGGAGCAACGCCGCGUGAGUGAUGAAGGUCUUCGGAUCGUAAAACUCUGUUAUUAGGGAAGAACAAAUGUGUAAGUAACUAUGCACGUCUUGACGGUACCUAAUCAGAAAGCCACGGCUAACUACGUG
rnacentral:rRNA from 1 species